CCUACGGGAGGCAGCAGUGAGGAAUAUUGGUCAAUGGCCGGAAGGCUGAACCAGCCAAGCCGCGUGAAGGACGAAUGUGCCAAGCAUUGUAAACUUCUUUUGUAAAGGGACAAAACCAGGCACGUGUGCCUGUCUGCGUGUACUUUAUGAAUAAGCAUCGGCUAACUCCGUGCCAGCAGCCGCGGUAAUACGGAGGAUCCGAGCGUUAUCCGGAUUUAUUGGGUUUAAAGGGAGCGUAGAUGGGUUGUUAAGUCAGUUGUGAAAGUUUGCGGCUCAACCGGAAGAGUGCUGUUGAUACUGGCAGUCUUGAGUACAGUGGAGGUAAGCGGAAUGCGUGGUGUAGCGGUGAAAUGCUUAGAUAUUGCGAAGAACUCCGAUUGCGAAGGCAGCAUACGAGCGGGGAACUGACGCUGAGGCACGAAAGCGUGGGUAUCAAACAGGAUUAGAUACCCGUGUAGUC
rnacentral:rRNA from 1 species